rnacentral:rRNA from 1 species
GGAAAGGGCGCUUUUAUUAGAUCAAGACCAUUCGCCCGGCCCGCCCGGGCGUUUAGUUGAUGAACCUAGAUAACACAUCAGAUCGCAUGGUCUCCGUACCGGCGACUUAUCUUUCAAAUGCCUGACUUAUCAACUGACGAUGGUAGACUCUGUGUCUACCAUGGCUCUUACGGGUAACGGGGAAUCAGGGUUCGAUUCCGGAGAGGGAGCCUGAGAAACGGCUACCACAUCCAAGGAAGGCAGCAGGCACGCAAAUUACCCACUCCCGGCACGGGGAGGUAGUGACAAAAAAUAACGAUACGGGACUCGAUAAGAGGCCCCGUAAUCGGAAUGAGUACACUUUAAAUCCUUUAACAAGGAUCCAUUGGAGGGCAAGUCUGGUGCCAGCAGCCGCGGUAAUUCCAGCUCCAAUAGCGUAUAUUAAAAUUGUUGCGGUUAAAAAGCUCGUAGUUGGUUCUGCGUCCCACGCUGUCGGUACACCGUUUGCCGGUGACACUGGCAUGCCGUGGAAUGUCCUGUCGGUGGCGGCCGAAAUCCUAGUGUGCCGGGCUUGCUCGGUCGUACUACGGGUCUUCGGUCGCCGACUCUAUCCUGCCGCGGUGCUCUUUAUUGAGUGUCGAGGUAGGCCGACACGUUUACUUUGAACAAAUUAGAGUGCUUAAAGCAGGCAAAAAUAUCUGCCAGAAUAGUGGUGCAUGGAAUAAUGGAACAGGCCCUUGGUUCUAUUUUGUUGGUUUUCGGAACACAAGGGAAUGAUCAAUGUGGACAGGCGGGGGCAUUCGUACUGCGGCUCCGAUGAAUCGACGGGGAGCUUUCCCCGGGAACCAAAGCUUUUGGGUUCCGGGGGAAGUAUGGUUGCAAAGCUGAAACUUAAAGGAAUUGACGGAAGGGCACCACCAGGAGUGGAGCCUGCGGCUUAAUUUGACUCAACACGGGAAACCUCACCAGGUCAGGACAUUGGAAUGAUUGACAGAUUGAUAGCUCUUUCUCGAUUCAGUGGGUAGUGGUGCAUGGCCGUUCUUAGUUGGUGGAUCGAUUUGUCUGGUUAAUUCCGAUAACGAACGAGACUCUGGCCUAUUAACUAGACGUUACUGGUAUCGUAGCUACCAGCGACCAUAUCUCUUCUUAAGGGGACAGGCGGCUUUUAGCCGCACGAGAUUGAGCAAUAACAGGUCUGUGAUGCCCUUAGAUGUCCUGGGCCGCACGCGCGCUACACUGAAGGAAUCAGCGUGUGAAUUCCCUUGGCCGAAAGGUCCGGGUAACCCGCUGAACCUCCUUCGUGCUAGGAAUUGGGGCUUGCAAUUGUUCCCCAUGAACGAGGAAUUCCCAGUAAGCGCGAGUCAUAAGCUCGCGUUGAUUACGUCCCUGCCCUUUGUACACACCGCCCGUCGCUACUACCGAUUGAAUGAUUUAGUGAGGUCUUCGGACUGGCGGUAAGCCUAACCGACUUCGGUUUUGACGAACGCUGGAAAGGAUG